GACGAACGCUGGCGGCGUGCCUAAUACAUGCAAGUAGAACGCUGAAGGAGGAGCUUGCUUCUCUGGAUGAGUUGCGAAUGGGUGAGUAACGCGUAGGUAACCUGCCUGGUAGCGGGGGAUAACUAUUGGAAACGAUAGCUAAUACCGCAUAACAGUAGAUAUCGCAUGAUAUCUACUUGAAAGGUGCAAUUGCAUCACUACCAGAUGGACCUGCGUUGUAUUAGCUAGUUGGUGAGGUAACGGCUCACCAAGGCGACGAUACAUAGCCGGCCUGAGAGGGGGGUCGGCCACACUGGGACUGAGACACGGCCCAGACUCCUACGGGAGGCAGCAGUAGGGAAUCUUCGGCAAUGGACGGAAGUCUGACCGAGCAACGCCGCGUGAGUGAAGAAGGUUUUCGGAUCGUAAAGCUCUGUUGUAAGAGAAGAACGAGUGUGAGAGUGGAAAGUUCACACUGUGACGGUAUCUUACCAGAAAGGGACGGCUAACUACGUG
rnacentral:rRNA from 1 species